UCUCGGGGAGGGAGAGGCCAGUGCAGGGGGACGCAGUGGAAAAAACCUUCCGUGACUUCUCCGUGGCCCUCUCUGAAGGCCCUGCUCCGGGGACAGAACCUCCUAUUCGGCUUUGGGGCGGGGGGAUCGUGUAGGACUUAGGUCGACGCCUCGGGCAGGUUCGGGCCCGGUGUGGAAUCCUUUCCUGAGGGUGUCUCUGCAAGGAGGAGGCAAGGCCUCUGCGUUCCCAGCAAGCCCUCAGCUUCGUUCCUCCCCUGCUGUCCUCCCCACGCUGCUGAGCAUCCGGCUGGGAAGGCUUUCUCCACUCCAGGCCGCCCACCUCCUCCUCGUCCUCCAGGUGUCAGAUCCCUGAGUAAGAUGGACAUCAUUGGACAGUGUGCAGUGUUUAUCAUUGGCACAGGCUGCCCAGCGCUGAGUACUCUUGCCCCAGUCUGAGACGCACAGCUUGCAUUAUUGCCAAGGGCCUUCUGGCAUCAGGCAAUGUCCCCAGAGUCUAGGACUCUGGCACAUUGUAGAGGCCCUAUCACUGUUCGCGGAAGGAGGAAGUGAUGUCAAAGCUGGGUUUUGCAUGAGGACAAACAGCUCUCCCGGCAGCCAAGUUCUGGAGUCCAGAAGUCCAAGAUCAGGGUGUCAGCAGGGUGCGUUUGUUCUGAGACUGUGCAGGAGAAUCUGUUUCAGGCCUCUCUCCUAGCUUCUGGUGGUUCUCUGGGAUCUUUGGUGUUCCUUGGCUUAUGGGAGCAUCAGCCCAUCUCUCCAUCUCCACGUGAAGUUCUCCUUGGGUGUGUCUGUCUCUGUGUCCGAACUUCCCUUUUUUGUAAGGACACUAGUCAUAUUGGGUCAGGGGCCCACCCUACCUCAUCUUAGCUAGUUACAUGUGCAGCAACCCUAUUUCCUAAUAAGAUCACACUCUGAGGGACAGGGGUUAGGACUCACACAUACGGCUUAUGGGGGACACAGGGCACCCAUAGCAAGUAACUCCCCUGCUCACUCCCUUUUCCAGCCUCCCAUGCCCCACAUACUCCUACUGGUACAAUUGACACCAGAUUCUCUUCAUGUCAUCACGUGAAUAUUCCCUGAGCCUCCUAAACAGGGCCUCGGGAGUCUGUCAUUCUUCCUGAGCACCCCUGAGCCUGGCACAGACUUGGGUACCCAGAGUGCAUAAGAUCUCUCUUAUUAAUUAACUGAAACGUGUUGUGGGUGUUUUUCACUCCACCAAAUCCAUGCUCAAGUCUCUUGAGCUCAUGCCCCUACACAAGUCUCUUGUUCAGCAAAGGGGAGGAUUCCUGUCUGUGUGAUCGAGAAGGAAAUCCAGAAACACAGACAGCCCGGGGAGCAGAAGGCAGCCCACGCCCCGUCACUGUCCACAGCCGGGUGGGUGCAGGUGAGCCGGCCCUGCACUCGUGACCACAGAGGACAGUUCAGCCGCUGGGCCCCGAGCCGGGGGACCUGAGCAUUUCUGAGGAGUUCAGUGCCCCCCCACCAUCAAUAGCCCGCCGAGCCUACUGCAGGUGGACGCUCCUGCUUUGAGGUUUGCUCCGUGCAAUCUUAAGUGAGGUGCAGUUGGACAGCAGGGUCCCUGCAGGGCCCCCACCCCAGGCAAAUUGAGAUCGCUGCCACAUGGGGUGCUUACAGACUGCACUGGGCCUCAGUCACCAGCAGGUGCAUGGACCUCCCUCGUCCGCCUAGCCCAGCGUGGCCCCGUCAGACAGCACAGGGGAACACAGAGGUGAGGCUUCCUCUGGACUUCCUGUGACUGUGUGCAGACACCCGGUCCUCCACUGUGGAAACUGCAGGCAGACCAUGGAACACAGAGACACAUCGGCACCCAGAGGUGACAAGCAGCAGGCAGAGCCCCUUCCUCGGGACAGUGGCUCAUUCUGACAAUGGGCCCCUAGGAAGCGGCCCAGGCGUCCCCUCGGAUCUGACUCAUCAUAAUUUAACAGAAGUUCAGGACGGAGGAGGAGGCGAGUGAGCGACCCACUUCUGCUGGCUGAUGGACACUGGUGCUAGCAGGGACACUAUGGCAACCAGACACGGGGCUUAAUGACAUCAGCCCUCGGAGCUUCCUCUCAGAGACUAAUGGGGACAGACACUCAACUCUCACAGGCAGAGAGGAGAGAGAGGCACUGGCUCUGUACCUGAGGAGCUGCCAUCCACACCGCCCUCCUUGACAGGUGUGCCGCCUGCCUGCUGCGAGCCUGGGACAGAGGGCUGUGCGUCAGGGCUGUGCUGGGCCUCCGAGGGUCCCACGCCAGCUGGCCUGCUGACCAUGCGACAGCUGCCUUGUCUGGCCAGGCCAGGCCUGCUACCCAGGUGUUCACCUGCCCACCUGGCCUCUGGCGAGACACUGAGCAAAGCAGGGGGUCUCCGCAUGGCGGGUGACAGAGCAGGCGUUGGGGCAGCACGAGAGCAGCAGUGCUGUUGCUGAGAGCCCUCCGUCUCGGCCAUCCUGAGUGCCCGCCUGGUGGCUGCUGCUGCUCCUGUUCCCUGGAGGAGGGAUCAAGGCUUGAAGUUGGGCCAAAAGAGCAGGGCCAGGGUAGGGACCAGGUCCCUGGGGUGCAGAGCCUUGCUCUUCCCAAGACUGAGGACCUGAUGGACACAUAUGUUUAUGCGCUUGGGGGCUCAAAAUGCAUUCAGAAUGGCCACCGCAACAGCCAAGAGGGUGACAUCGUCUUCCUCUCAAUGUGGCCACGUGAUAGCUGCUGGAGAGGGCAGGUCUCUAUGUGGGAGUGAGAGUACCCUGUGAUGACAUUGGACCCGCCAGUCUAAUUGCGAUGAUCUUCCUACUCCAAGGUCAGCUGACUGGCAACCUAACUCCAACUGCAACCACAACUCCUGCUGCCAUGUGAGCUCGCACAUUCACAGAUGCAGGGACGUCUUUGAGGGCUGUUAUUCCACCUACUGCAGGUCUUUAGAGACCAGAAGUGCUGAGUCCAGCUGGACCUGUAGGUAAAGUGGGAAACACACCGCAUUCCAGCCUCUAGGAGCACGAGGGUACAGGAGAUGAAAAGCAGGAUAUGCAGGGGCCGACCCCGUGGCUCACUCGGGAGAGUGCGGCACUGGGAGCGCCAAGGCUGCGGGUUCGGAUCCUAUAUAGGGAUGGCUGGUGCACUCACUGGCUGAGCGCGGUGCAGGCGACACCAAGCCAGGGGUUACGAUCCCCUUACCAGUCACAAAAAAAAAAAAAAAAAAAAAAAAAGCAAGAUAUGCAGGCAUCGGUGUGUGUGCACGGGGAUGGCAGGGGCUGGCUCCACAGGGGAGGACAGUGAGCACUUAGGAGGCUGCUGUGAGGGGCCAGCGCUUGAGCUCGUGGCCAGGAAGAGGGAGCAGGUGGCCCAGGAGUGGGCACAGCAUGGGACUCUUCAGUGUGGAGGAAGUUCUCACUCUGCACAGCCGAUGGUUACUCAGACUCCAUGGGGCCGGGUACAAGAUGCAUCUCCAUGCAUUCCUGCCGCUCACCUGUCCCAUGUCUAGAACUGCCAGGAAGCCCCAGCCUGGAGGAAGACACAAGGGCUUCAAUGCAGCAAACCCUGGACCAAGAUUCCAGGGACUGUGGGGCCAGCCCUGGCUCUGCCCACACCCGCCACAGCCUCGGCCAAGCCCCUGUUCCCCGCACAGUGUCACCAUGCUUCUCCCAUAAAAAAGGGUCCCCAUUAGGGUGGCCCUCCCCUUCUUCCAGCUCUAGAGCUGAUGCCCCUUUGAAUCUCAAAGAGCUUUG